UACGGAAGGUGCAAGCGUUAUCCGGUUUUAUUGGGUUUAAAGGGUGCGUAGGCGGCUUAUUAAGUCAGUUGUGAAAUCCUAGCGCUCAACGUUAGAAUGGCGAUUGAUACUGGUAGGCUUGAGUCAAGAAGAGGUAAGUAGAAUUUAUGGUGUAGUAGUGAAAUGCAUAGAUAUCAUAAGGAAUACCGAUAGCGUAGGCAGCUUACUGGUCUUGAGCUGACGCUGAGGCACGAAAGCGUGGGGAGCAAACAGG
rnacentral:rRNA from 1 species